CAGUUAGAGGAGUUAGUCACAAGCUGGAAUACAAGACACAAACCUAUAGGUGUCAUCUUUUCACGUGAACUUUGGCAGGAACACAGAAAGUAUUACAACACAUACAAUGAAAUCAGGAAACUUACACAUUAUCUUCGCCAACACAACCAAGAGUUUAUUGAACUAUGCCAAGAGCUACGAGGUGCUGCAAGACAUUCAUUUGAUUCACUCAUUUUACUACCGGUAAGUUGAAAGGAUGGAGAUGAUGGCGAGAAGGAGGAGGAGGAGGAUGGUGAUGAUGAGAAUGACAAUUUUCCCAAUUAUAAUCAUGUGGAAGUGAUAUGGAUAACAAAAAGACAGUUAUUAUGAGAAUGUUGCUGGUGAUGAGGAUGAUGAUGAAUAUAAUGAUGUUGCUGGUGAUGAUGAUGAUGGUUGUGGUGGUAGUGGUGAUGAUAAGGAUGAGGAUGACAAUUUUCAAGAUUAUAAUGGUGUGGUGGUGAUAUGGAUAAACAUAAAGACAGUAAUGAUGAGAAUGUUGUUAAUGGUGAUGAUGAAUAUGAUGAUGAUGAUGUGGAUAAUGAUGGUGAUGAUGAUGGUGAUGAUGAUGAUGGUGGUUGUGGUGGUAGUGACGGUGUUGAUGGUGGGAGUGGUAUUGGUAGUGAUGGCAGUGAUGGUGGUGGUGCUUUUGUUGAUGCAGUCAACAUUUUAAACACUAUUGCAACCUACAUUUGAUUGCUUCAUCUCAAUUCUUGAAGCUCUCGAUCAAGAUCAGCCCAUGUACCAUUUCGCACGUACAUCAUGCCUACUUUCAAGCAUACUGGAUCAAGUUCAACUCCACGACAAAACCAUACCCAGACGCAAUAAAUCUUUGCGAAUUGGCUGGUCGACAUGGCAAGUUAAUUGGGCAGAUUUUGAACGAGACUCGUCUCGUAAAACCCUGUAUGAAUUGAGAACAGAGCACUUGGCAUGCUAUGCCGAAGUCUACUGAUUUUAUUAUUCCCUAUCCGUAAGACCCAAUUUCAAGUGAACCUAUAGGCCUACAACGCAAUCUUAUACUUGAUGAUAUAAUAUAAUUUCUCCCCAAAUGUACUUAUGUAUGGUUUGUGCAAGUAGGCCUACAGUUGGUAAAAGGAAAAAAAUGAAGGAAUGACGUAUUCAGUGAAAUUCCUGUGUGUGACUUAUGACGUACAUGUGAGAUGAAUUACUGCCUAGACCUAAUUGAAAUUGUGUAAGAACAUCUAUAUGAAACUGAAGAUGAAUAAAGAGUAAGCCUACCUCUGUGUAGUUCAGUGAUAAGCUCUCUAUUUGUACAUCCAGGGACUAUGAGGGAUGAUAGUGAGAGUGAGACGUGUAUCAUCCCAAGUAGCAUCUGAGCACUGUUAAGGGGGAAAUCAUUACUUAUUAAAAAUGAUGAUUUCUAGGUCUUGGUAUUAAAAGAUGGAUGUAAAUCGGAAAAGAAAUAAAGCUGCACUGAGCAAGAAAUUAGUUAUGUAUGUUAAAAUAGUAAACACAGUAAAUAAAGGUAUUCUGACCCAAUUCUGAUAGAGAUUGAGGUCAAUGACCCCAGAGCUGGACUAGGUCAUUCCGACCUUGUUUUUCAUGUCCAAAGUUGACCUGAUUUUGAUUGUUUGAUGUUGGUCAAUUUUUUAAAGACUAAUUUCUUGCUAUGAAUUACAGAUCCUCCCACAAUUUUUCUUAGAUUAUCAUUUUUUGUCUUCAAAUUAUUAUAUGAGAUAAAUUAUUUCAUAAGGUUUAUGAUUAUAUUGUGAUGAAAUUUAUUACAGUAUAAUCAUUAAUACACUAAUGAAUGUAUGAAUGCAUACACAUAUGAACAGGCAGAAAACUGAAUGAUAGAAAUAAAUAAAUGUAAGAAUUUGUAAAUUAAUAAAACUGAAUAAAACUAUUAAAAUAAAUAAACAGACCCUGAAUAUAAUUUAUAAAUAGAUCAGUGUUAAAUUUUACAAAUUAGAUAACAGGUGAGUCUACAAGAUCUAUCCAGUUCACAAAGUGAGUCCUUCAUCAAUUGCAGAUACAUGUUAUUUGAAGCCGGGCCUAUUCCUGUGGUUUGUAUUUAUUUCAUCCUUUUCUCAUUGACCCAGACUAAUUUCCCUUUUUGAAAGUGAUGCAAAUCCUCCAAAUAUGAAGCGAUAUCCUUGCUUUUCUUUGCUUCGAGCCUCUCUAUUUCCUUUUCCCUGUUACACCCUUUUUACUGUUAGAUAUCUUGAUAUUUCCCAUUUUUCUUUCCCUCAAGCCUCUCUUGUUCCAUUUCCUUGUGAGAUAUGACACCAAUUUCUCCUUUGUUCACAAAGUUAAGUUGAAAUGCUGUCUAUACAUUAAAAAUUCCUUUUUCAAAGACUGAAAACGUUUUGCUUUAAUUUCAAGUAUGGAGAUACAUGUGGUCGGUAGUGAUAUUUUUCUUAAUCAAGAUAAAAUAAAAGUUAUAAAAUAAACCAAGAUGCGAAUACUUUUCUGGACAAUGAUUUAAAUCCUUGUCAAUUAUUAUAAUAAAACCAAUACAACCAAUGCUAGAAUUUGAAACAUCCCUUGCCUGAUGGAAUGGUAUGAAGAUCUUUGGGAAAUCUAUGGAUCCAUUUCGAAUGUCAUAAGUGACCAUUUACAAAUACUUGCACUGUUUUCCAGAAAUGUGCUGAAAUUCAUAGACAAUCAUGAGUGGAAAAAUGAAAUGAUCUUCUUCAUGUAUCCUUCAUUUCCUAGGCGGAUAAUUUGAUACUUAUGUUUAGGCACGUAAUUCUGGGCCAUCUUACAAAGAGUUACUAUUGAUCUCAUCAACCGUAACUCUGGAAAUCCAUCAGUGUCAUCAUUUUUUCUACAGGAAAUUUGCAAAAUGUCCUUUGUAAACAAAGGAGAACACACCAAAUUGUCAAGAAAUCAAUUAAUUUAUGGAUAUACAUUCAUUCUAGAAAUUUUUUGAACAAACAUGCAUUUUAUAUGUUGACUUUGCUGGCUUUCCAUAGUUGCAAUUGAUCCGAUCAAUCGCAACUCUUUGUAAGACGGGCCCCAGAUCAAUAACUACCUAAUAAUAUAUUUGAAUUAUCUGAUAAAAUGGCAGAAGUUCAUGUUCAUGUACACCAUUGACGGCUUUUCUAAAUUCAGCUGGUAUCCGAUUCCAUACAUAAGUGUGAGUAAUGAGGACUCAAAGGAUUAUGAAUGUCAGUGACAAUGGACCUGAUUCGAUAUCCUGUAUUAUUACAAUGUACAUGUUUGAUAAUUUCUAUAUUGAUGGAAAUUGAAUGAUUUAACCUGGGAAAUGUAACAGUGGCUUAACAAAUGAAAGGGCUUCCUUAUGAAGUACUUUUAGUAGUAAUAAAUUUGAAAAAAGUCUGAUGUAGUCUUGUAAGAAAUGGUAAAUCUAUUUAUUCAGUGUGUUGCAGUGUUUGUUUUACUUCAAGUUGGUCAAUAUAGUCCCAAGAAUUAGACCUGAGUUUAUCAGAUGUCCUCCACUAAUCGAUUUGAACUUGGUAAAAAUUAUCUUGUUGAACGUUGAUAGGUGUAUUUGUCUAAGUAGGGUAGGCCUAUUGUCUUCCUCAGGUGUUCUUCAAAAGUUGACUUGAACUUGAUGAAUUCUUCUUUAACACCAAGCUUGUGUGUGAAUGUGGCUUGGUGUUUUCAGGUGUUCUCAUGUUUAACUUGAAUUUAACCUUGAUGAAAUUGUCAUGUGUGAAUAGGGCCUGGUGUUUUCAGGUUUUCUCAGGUUUUUCUUGAACUUCAACUAGAUGAACUCAUUGUGUGUGAAUGAGACAUGGUGUCAUCAGGUGUUUUAGUAAAGUUCUCUCUGUACUCUGAACCAGAUUUGUGUGUAGUGUGAAUGGGUCUUGGUGUUUUCAGGUGUUCUCGUCAGGUUUACUUGAACUUGGUGAACUUAUUAAACAUCAGGGGUUGUGUCAUACCUUGACACAUCAGCUAUAUAGGUCAGCUUAUGUUCAGGUUUGUCUGUGACACCACAUACAAUCCCGCGGCGAUGAGAGAGUCAACAUACGUGCUAGUUUGAUUGAAACAAAGACAUGAAAAUAUAUUAGAUAACGGCAAAUAGGGUAAAUUGAGUUGGAUCAAGGAGUGCUUGAGAUUUUAUAGAGGAGAGAGAGAGAGAGAAAGAUGGCUGGUACCCAAGUUCGUACUGAGAUAUGAUGUAAGACAUUUAGAUUUGACAAUUCUCAUUGUUUGCUGCCAAAGCAAUGAUAGACAAGACCCAUUGCCACGUUUGAAAAGGGGGCUAAGUACUUUUCAAAAUUCAAAUACACAACACAAAGUGAAAACCUAUUGAACUAAAUAUUCAAUAGAAUGAUGAUUAUGUAGGCCGAGAUUGUAUCGUUCAUUAAAGAAAUUG